rnacentral:rRNA from 1 species
AUUGAACGCUGGCGGCAUGCCUUACACAUGCAAGUCGAACGGUAACAGGUCUUCGGAUGCUGACGAGUGGCGAACGGGUGAGUAAUACAUCGGAACGUGCCUAGUAGUGGGGGAUAACUACUCGAAAGAGUGGCUAAUACCGCAUGAGAUCUACGGAUGAAAGCAGGGGAUCGCAAGGCCUUGUGCUACUAAGGCGGCCGACGGCAGAUUAGGGAGUUGGUGGGAUAAAAGCUUACCAAGCCGACGAUCUGUAGCUGGUCUGAGAGGACGAUCAGCCACACUGGGACUGAGACACGGCCCAGACUCCUACGGGAGGCAGCAGUGGGGAAUUUUGGACAAUGGGCGAAAGCCUGAUCCAGCAAUGCCGCGUGCAGGAUGAAGGCCUUCGGGUUGUAAACUGCUUUUGUACGGAACGAAAAGCCCUGGGUUAAUACCCUGGGGUCAUGACGGUACCGUAAGAAUAAGCACCGGCUAACUCCGUGCCAGCCGCCGCAGUAAUAC